rnacentral:rRNA from 1 species
UACGUAGGGUGCGAGCGUUAAUCGGAAUUACUGGGCGUAAAGCGUGCGCAGGCGGCUUUGCAAGCCGGAUGUGAAAUCCCCGGGCUCAACCUGGGAAUGGCAUUCGGGACUGCAAGGCUGGAGUGCGGCAGAGGAGACUGGAAUUCCUGGUGUAGCAGUGAAAUGCGUAGAUAUCAGGAGGAAUACCGAUGGCGAAGGCAGGUCUCUGGGCUGACACUGACGCUCAUGCACGAAAGCGUGGGGAGCAAACAGG